rnacentral:rRNA from 1 species
CAGCAGCAGCCGCGGUAAUACGGAGGAUCCAAGCGUUAUCCGGAAUCAUUGGGUUUAAAGGGUCCGUAGGCGGUCUUGUAAGUCAGUGGUGAAAGCCCAUCGCUCAACGGUGGAACGGCCAUUGAUACUGCAGGACUUGAAUUAUUGGGAAGUAACUAGAAUAUGUAGUGUAGCGGUGAAAUGCUUAGAGAUUACAUGGAAUACCAAUUGCGAAGGCAGGUUACUACCAAUUGAUUGACGCUGAUGGACGAAAGCGUGGGUAGCGAACAGGAUUAGAUACCCCGGUAGUCCCUGUCUCUUAUAC